CACUAUCUUGUGGCUGUCGGUUCUUCCGGUUGCCGCCGGAAGAUGAAAAGGGAAGCCGGUCAGACACCGGCACUGCCCCGCAGCGGUAGGUGGAAACGAACCCGUCAUUUGGCACUGGGGCACAUGCCCUGGGAAGCGACGGGCUAGGAAGAAGCGAGAGCUUCCGCGUCCACGAGUCCGAAGACCUGCCGACAGCCGCGCGUUGCA
rnacentral:ncRNA from 2 species